rnacentral:rRNA from 1 species
GACGAACGCUGGCGGCGUGCCUAAUACAUGCAAGUAGGACGCAGUUGCGAACGUGUGAGUAACGCGUAGGUAACUACCUAUUAGAGGGGGCUAACUAUUGGAAACGAUAGCUAAUACCGCAUACUAGUAGAUGGACCUUCGUUGUAUUAGCUAGUAGGUCGGGUAAUGGCCUACCUAGGCAACGAUACAUAGCCGACCGGAGGGGGUGAUCGGCCACAACGGGACUGAGACAAGGCCCAGACUCCUACGGGAGGCAGCAGUAGGGAAACAUCGGCAAUGGGGGGAACGCUGAACGAGCAAAGCCGCGUGAGUGAAGAAGGGUUUUGGAGCGUAAAGCUCUUUUGUGAAGGAAGCGGUACUUAAACAGAAAGGGACGGCUAACUACGUGCCAGCAGCCGCGGUAAUAC